rnacentral:lncRNA from 1 species
UUUAAGGCUGUUUCCUCAACUUGCUGUCCAACAGUCUCUUUCUUUUGAUGCCACCAACAUACCUCUUAUCCAGAACACUCCUUUUGCCUGCUGGCAAUCAGGAAACAGAAAGCCUUUGCUAAGCUGUCACAUGGCAGAAAGGACAGCUUGAAGAAUCAGCGAGCUGUUCUCCUUGGACUAUGGGAAGCAGUUCUCUAGAAAUCAAAAAAUCCAAACACAGCCCUGAGGCAGGGGAGUUUUCUUUCUAGCCCCGGGGAACGUAUCCUUUCCAAUGGAACUAAGAAGGUGAUGUGUGCCCUUUCUCUCCCUACUCAACCCCUUACUGUGCAACUCGUUGAAGCUGCCUAACCCUGAGCCCUGGUUUCUUUUGAAAACUUAGGAUGAUAAUAAUUCAUAGUUCAUGAGGUUGAUGGGAUUGUAAAGUAUACUAACUACAUCUAAAGCUUUUGGAGUAAUGUUAACUUUAGGAAAGCAAUAGUAUGUAUAGUUCAAUUAGGGAAAAAUGUACCAAAGUGUUCUAUGCGUGUUAUGACAGUAGAAUGCUGCCCACCCCACCUAUGUAUCUCUUAGACAAUCUUGGUAACCUGAGAUUAAGAACAUUUGCCUAGCACAGGGUGUGACAAAGUAUUGUGUUGGGGGGCAAAUGCAGCCGACUUGCUUUUGUAAAUGAAAUUUACAAAAUUAACUAGUUUAUGUAUUGUCUAUCGCUGUUUUCAAGCUACAGCAUCAAGGUUGAGUACUUCAGGCAAAAGACUGUAUGAGCCACAAAACCUGAAAUACAUAUUCUUAGCUCUUUGCAGGAAAAGUUUGCCAACCACUUACAUAGCCUGCUGUGAGACACUAAUUAUAUCCAG